UGGGGAAUUUUGGACAAUGGGCGAAAGCCUGAUCCAGCAAUGCCGCGUGUGUGAAGAAGGCCUUCGGGUUGUAAAGCACUUUUGUCCGGAAAGAAAUCCUUGGCUCUAAUACAGUCGGGGGAUGACGGUACCGGAAGAAUAAGCACCGGCUAACUACGUGCCAGCAGCCGCGGUAAUACGUAGGGUGCAAGCGUUAAUCGGAAUUACUGGGCGUAAAGCGUGCGCAGGCGGUUUGCUAAGACCGAUGUGAAAUCCCCGGGCUCAACCUGGGAACUGCAUUGGUGACUGGCAGGCUAGAGUAUGGCAGAGGGGGGUAGAAUUCCACGUGUAGCAGUGAAAUGCGUAGAGAUGUGGAGGAAUACCGAUGGCGAAGGCAGCCCCCUGGGCCAAUACUGACGCUCAUGCACGAAAGCGUGGGGAGCAAAACAGGAUUAGAUACCCUGGUAGUCCACGCCCUAAACGAUGUCAACUAGUUGUUGGGGAUUCAUUUCCUUAGUAACGUAGCUAACGCGUGAAGUUGACCGCCUGGGGAGUACGGUCGCAAGAUUAAAACUCAAAGGAAUUGAC
rnacentral:rRNA from 1 species